rnacentral:rRNA from 1 species
GGUCCCGCCUGCCCUGUGACCCCUGGUUUAACGGCCGCGGUAUUUUGACCGCGCGAAGGUAGCGCAAUCACUUGUCCUUUAAAUGGGGACCUGUAUGAAUGGCAUAACGAGGGCUUAACUGUCUCCUUUCCCCGGUCAAUGAAAUUGAUCUUCCCGUGCAGAAGCGGGAAUCCUAACAUAAGACGAGAAGACCCUAUGGAGCUUUAGACCUUAGAGCAGAUCAUGUUUUGUUAUCCCUUAAGCAAGUAAUAACUAUUGAACCCCUGUUCUACUGUCUUUGGUUGGGGCGACCACGGGGAAGAAAAAAACCCCCACGUGGACUGGGAGCACACUACUCCUUCAACUACGAGCCACAGCUCUAAUGCGCAGAAUCUCUGACCAUAAGAUCCGGCAAAGCCGAUCAACGGACCGAGUUACCCUAGGGAUAACAGCGCAAUCCCCUUUAAGAGUCCAUAUCGACAAGGGGGUUUACGACCUCGAUGUUGGAUCAAGACAUCCUAAUGGUGCAGCCGCUAUUAAGGGUUCGUUUGUUCAACGAUUAAAGUCUU